rnacentral:rRNA from 1 species
AACGUAGGUUCCGAGCGUUAUCCGGAUUUACUGGGCGUAAAGCGCGUUCAGGCGGUUUGGCAAGUCGGGCAUGAAAUCUCUCGGCUCAACCGGGAGAGGUUGUCCGAUACUUCCAGACUUGAGGGCAGUAGAGGGUGGUGGAAUUCCGGGUGUAGUGGUGAAAUGCGUAGAUAUCCGGAGGAACACCAGUGGCGAAGGCGGCUUCCUGGACCGACACUGACGCUGAGGCGCGAAAGCUAGGGGAGCAAACGGG